rnacentral:rRNA from 1 species
AGAUUAAACUGAAGAGUUUGAUCCUGGCUCAGAUUGAACGCUGGCGGCAUGCCUUACACAUGCAAGUCGAACGGCAGCACGGACUUCGGUCUGGUGGCGAGUGGCGAACGGGUGAGUAAUAUAUCGGAACAUACCCUAGAGUGGGGGAUAACGUAGCGAAAGUUACGCUAAUACCGCAUACGCACUAAGGUGGAAAGUGGGGGAUCGCAAGACCUCAUGCUCAUGGAGUGGCCGAUAUCUGAUUAGCUAGUUGGUGAGGUAAAGGCUCACCAAGGCGACGAUCAGUAGCUGGUUUGAGAGAACGACCAGCCACACUGGAACUGAGACACGGUCCAGACUCCUACGGGAGGCAGCAGUGGGGAAUUUUGGACAAUGGGCGCAAGCCUGAUCCAGCAAUGCCGCGUGAGUGAAGAAGGCCUUCGGGUUGUAAAGCUCUUUUGUCAGGGAAGAAACGGUAGUCUCUAAUACAGAUUGCUAAUGACGGUACCUGAAGAAUAAGCACCGGCUAACUACGUGCCAGCAGCCGCGGUAAUACGUAGGGUGCAAGCGUUAAUCGGAAUUACUGGGCGUAAAGCGUGCGCAGGCGGUUAUAUAAGUCAGAUGUGAAAUCCCCGGGCUCAACCUGGGAACUGCAUUUGAGACUGUAUGGCUAGAGUGUGUCAGAGGGGGGUAGAAUUCCACGUGUAGCAGUGAAAUGCGUAGAUAUGUGGAGGAAUACCGAUGGCGAAGGCAGCCCCCUGGGAUAACACUGACGCUCAUGCACGAAAGCGUGGGGAGCAAACAGGAUUAGAUACCCUGGUAGUCCACGCCCUAAACGAUGUCUACUAGUUGUCGGGACUUAAUUGUCUUGGUAACGCAGCUAACGCGUGAAGUAGACCGCCUGGGGAGUACGGUCGCAAGAUUAAAACUCAAAGGAAUUGACGGGGACCCGCACAAGCGGUGGAUGAUGUGGAUUAAUUCGAUGCAACGCGAAAAACCUUACCUACCCUUGACAUGGUUGGAAUCCCGAAGAGAUUUGGGAGUGCUCGCAAGAGAACCAAUACACAGGUGCUGCAUGGCUGUCGUCAGCUCGUGUCGUGAGAUGUUGGGUUAAGUCCCGCAACGAGCGCAACCCUUGUCAUUAGUUGCUACAUUAAGUUGAGCACUCUAAUGAGACUGCCGGUGACAAACCGGAGGAAGGUGGGGAUGACGUCAAGUCCUCAUGGCCCUUAUGGGUAGGGCUUCACACGUCAUACAAUGGUACAUACAGAGGGCUGCCAAACCGCGAGGUGGAGCUAAUCCCAGAAAGUGUAUCGUAGUCCGGAUUGUAGUCUGCAACUCGACUACAUGAAGUUGGAAUCGCUAGUAAUCGCGGAUCAGCAUGUCGCGGUGAAUACGUUCCCGGGUCUUGUACACACCGCCCGUCACACCAUGGGAGCGGGUUUCGCCAGAAGUAGGUAGCUUAACCGUAAGGAGGGCGCUUACCACGGCGGGGUUCGUGACUGGGGUGAAGUCGUAACAAGGUAGCCGUAUCGGAAGGUGCGGCUGGAUCACCUCCUUUCUAG